rnacentral:tRNA from 1 species
GCUCCCGUAGCUCAGUAGGAUAGAGCAAUGGAUUCCUAAUCCAUAGGUCGGAGGUUCGAAUCCUCUCGGGGGCGCCA